GAAAUGCGAUAAGUAGUGUGAAUUGCAGAAUUCAGUGAAUCAUCGAAUCUUUGAACGCACAUUGCGCCCUUUGGUAUUCCAAAGGGCAUGCCUGUUCGAGCGUCAUUUGUACCCUCAAGCUUUGCUUGGUGUUGGGCGUCUUGUCUCCAGUUCGCUGGAGACUCGCCUUAAAGUAAUUGGCAACCGGCCUACUGGUUUCGGAGCGCAGCACAAGUCGCGCUCUCUUCCAGCCAAGGUCAGCAUCCACAAAGCCUUUUUUCAACUUUUGACCUCGGAUCAGGUAGGGAUACCCGCUGAACGUAAGC
rnacentral:misc_RNA from 1 species